rnacentral:rRNA from 1 species
GACGUAGGGCGCGAGCGUUGUCCGGAAUCAUUGGGCGUAAAGAGCGUGUAGGCGGCUCGGUAAGUCCGCUCUGAAAGCCCGGGGCUCAACCCCGGGAGGCGGGCGGAUACUGUCGGGCUAGAGUCCGGAAGAGGCGAGUGGAAUUCCUGGUGUAGCGGUGGAAUGCGCAGAUAUCAGGAGGAACACCAAUAGCGAAGGCAGCUCGCUGGGACGGUAUUGACGGCUAAGGCGCGAAAGCGUGGGGAGCAAAC